ACCCCAGCAGCUUUCAACCUUCCCAUAGCGUCCCAUAUCCAACUACUAAUUGGACUAUGUGAAGCUGCGCACGCGCGCACACACACACACACACACACCCCCCCACACACACACACCCACACCCUGCUGUUCUCAGAUCAUCUCACCAAGUUCUCAGCCAAGAGGGCAACUUCUUCUCUAGGGACAACUGACCAGAGUGGCAGGAAGGACCUGGCAGGAGAGCAGGAGGCAGGAGGACAGGCUAAGGAACUUCCUUUCGCCUGCCCCGAGCUCCAGUCUGCAUCUCGCCAGGAGCCACAGGCAACAAGCGCUCAUGCUACCGGUUAUUCCCGGCACGUCCAUCCACAGCUGGCUGCACGGAGAUUUUCAGUUUCUUUGGACAGACGUAUUAUCAUCCACGGGCCAGAGCACCAGCUGCCUGGAGCCCCCUGCCCAGAGGUUUAGUUCUACCCUGGAUAGGUAGACAGUUCUACCUAUCCUCUGAGCUCCUACAGCCCCAGAUGUGUUGAUGUAGGUCCCUCAAUCCUGUCUGAUUCUUUGCAACCCCAUGGACUGUAGCCCGCCAGGCUCCUCUGUCCAUGGAUUUCUCCAGCAAGAAUACUGGAGUGGGUAGCCAUUUCCUCCUCCAGGGGAUCUUCCCUACUCAGGGACAGAAUCCAGGGCUCCCGUAUUGCAGAUUCUUUACCAUCUGAGCCACCGGGGAACCCACAGCCCCAGAAAUCUCAGCUACUUCUGGUCACUAUUGCCCCUAUUACCUCAGGGAUCAUGUCUGGUUCUUCCAGCCUCUUAGUGUGUGUGUAGCCAAUUCCCCUUAAUAAUUUCCUGUAUUUUAAAUACCUGGAGAGGUUUCUGUUUUCCUCAGCAGACCAAGAAACCUGGUCCGGGGUUUCAGUUUGAUUGAAAACCUUUGGUUAAUGUUGAAGUCACAGCUUAUCUUUCUAAGAAAGCUUAAGAUGGACAAUAUUAACAACUGCAAAAUGAAUAUGUUCAAAUGUUUAAAGAUUUAAAAAAAAAGGAUCAGAAAUGAGGAAAGUCACGGCAUUAUUAAAAGAUCAGGCAGGUUUAGAAAAGAACAAAAUAGGACGUGCCGCGGGCUUCCCAGGUGGCUUAGUGAUAAAGAGUCUACCUUUCAAUGCAGGCGAUGUAGGUUCGAUCCCUGGUUGGGGGACUAAGAUCUCACAUGCAACUAAGCCCAAGUGCUAAAAGUACUGAAGCCAGAAGAGAGUCCGGGCACCUCAAUGCAAAGGUCCUGUGUGACACAACCUCUGUGUGCUGAGACAGAGGUGAGGCAGUCAAACUGAAAAAAAAAAAGAACUACUAAAUGUAAUUUACCAGGGGAAACUAAAAGAAGCAUGGCCUCAGACUUUUACACAGCAAGCAUUACUUCAAGAUAAAGUGGAACAAUGCUGGUCAUGACCACAAGGAAAUAAAAUG
ensembl:lncRNA